AACGAACGCUGGCGGCAUGCCUAACACAUGCAAGUCGAACGAGACCUUCGGGUCUAGUGGCGCACGGGUGCGUAACGCGUGGGAACCUGCCCUUAGGUUCGGAAUAACUCCCCGAAAGGGGUGCUAAUACCGGGUAAUGUCUUCGGACCAAAGAUUUAUCGCCUUUGGAUGGGCCCGCGUUGUAUUAGCUAGGUGGUAGGGUAAAAGCCUACCAAGGCGACGAUCCAUAGCUGGUCUGAGAGGAUGAUCAGCCACACUGGGACUGAGACACGGCCCAGACUCCUACGGGAGGCAGCAAUGGGGAAUAUUGGACAAUGGGCGAAAGCCUGAUCCAGCAAUGCCGCGUGAGUGAUGAAGGCCUUAGGGUUGUAAAGCACUUUUACCCGGGAUGAUAAUGACAGUACCGGGAGAAUAAGCUCCGGCUAACUCCGUG
rnacentral:rRNA from 1 species